rnacentral:rRNA from 1 species
GUCUACGGCCAUGCCACCUUGAACGUGCCCCAUCCUGUCUGACCUAGGAAGCUAAGCAGGGUCGGGCCUGGGUAGUACUUGGAUGGGAGACCACCUAGGAAGACCAGGUGCUAUAGGCG